UACGGAGGAUGCGAGCGUUAUCCGGAUUUAUUGGGUUUAAAGGGUGCGUAGGUGGAUUGGUAAGUCAGUGGUGAAAGUUUGCAGCUUAACUGUAAAAUUGCCGUUGAAACUGCCGGUCUUGAGUGCAAAUGAGGUAGGCGGAAUGCGUCGUGUAGCGGUGAAAUGCUUAGAUAUGACGCAGAACUCCGAUUGCGAAGGCAGCUUACUGGGAUGCAACUGACGCUGAGGCACGAAAGCGUGGGUAUCAAACAGGAUUAGAUA
rnacentral:rRNA from 1 species